GAUGAAGAACGCAGUAAAAUGCGAUAAGUAAUGUGAAUUGCAGAAUUCAGUGAAUCAUCGAAUCUUUGAACGCACAUUGCGCCCGCCAGUAUUCUGGCGGGCAUGCCUGUUCGAGCGUCAUUUCAACCCUCAAGCACAGCUUGGUGUUGGGACUCGCGUUAAUUCGCGUUCCCCAAAUUGAUUGGCGGUCACGUCGAGCUUCCAUAGCGUAGUAGUAAAACCCUCGUUACUGGUAAUCGUCGCGGCCACGCCGUUAAACCCCAACUUCUGAAUGUUGACCUCGGAUCAGGUAGGAAUACCCGCUGAACUUAAGCAUAUCAAUAGCGGAGGA
rnacentral:misc_RNA from 1 species